rnacentral:misc_RNA from 1 species
UUGGCUAUGAGCUGCUUGUGCAAGGGAAAUCCGGAAGCUCUUCUUGUUUGUAAUGGAUUCAAGGAUGGAGAGUACAUUUCUCUGGCGUUGCUAGCUAGAAAACUCGCUUUGAACACUGUGAUUGUGCUUGAACAAGAAGAAGAACUUGAUUUGGUCCUGGCAUUGAGCAGGAAAAUGUCAGUUAGGCCCGUGAUUGGAGUGCGAGCCAAGCUGAGAACCAAACAUU